GACAGAGGGUGCGAGCGUUGUUCGGAAUUACUGGGCGUAAAGCGCGUGUAGGCGGCAGCGCAAGUCGGGCGUGAAAUCCCACGGCUCAACCGUGGAAGUGCACUCGAAACUGCGCAGCUAGAGUCCUGGAGAGGAAGGUGGAAUGCUUGGUGUAGAGGUGAAAUGCGUAGAUAUCGGGAGGAACACCAGUGGCGAAGGCGGCGACCUGGGCCAAUAUUGACGCUGAGGUGCGAAAGCGUGGGGAGCAAACAGG
rnacentral:rRNA from 1 species